AUUGAACGCUGGCGGAAUGCUUUACACAUGCAAGUCGAACGGCAGCACGGACUUCGGUCUGGUGGCGAGUGGCGAACGGGUGAGUAAUGUAUCGGAACGUGCCCAGUCGUGGGGGAUAACGUAGUGAAAAUUACGCUAAUACCGCAUACGAUCUAUGGAUGAAAGCGGGGGAUCGCAAGACCUCGCGCGAUUGGCGCGGCCGAUAUCAGAUUAGGUAGUUGGUGGGGGAAAGGCCCACCAAGCCAACGAUCUGUAGCUGGUCUGAGAGGACGACCAGCCACACUGGAACUGAGACACGGUCCAGACUCCUACGGGAGGCAGCAGUGGGGAAUUUUGGACAAUGGGCGAAAGCCUGAUUCAGCCAUUCCGCGUGCAGGAUGAAGGCCCUCGGGUUGUAAACUGCUUUUGUACAGAACGAAAAGGUUUCUACUAAUACUAGGAGCUCAUGACGGUACUGUAAGAAUAAGCACCGGCUAACUACGUGCCAGCCGCCGCGGUAA
rnacentral:rRNA from 1 species